UACGUAGGGGGCAAGCGUUGUCCGGAAUCAUUGGGCGUAAAGAGCGUGUAGGCGGCCCGGUAAGUCCGUUGUGAAAUUCCUGGGCUCAACCUGGGGGCUGCGUUCGAUACGUGCGGACUAGAGUGGGGAAGAGGGUCGUGGAAUUCCCAGUGUAGAGGUGAAAUUCGUAGAUAUUGGGAAGAACACCGGUGGCGAAGGCGGCGACCUGGUCCGAUACUGACGCUGAGACGCGAAAGCGUGGGGAGCGAACAGG
rnacentral:rRNA from 1 species